CCUACGGGAGGCAGCAGUGAGGAAUAUUGGUCAAUGGACGAGAGUCUGAACCAGCCAAGUAGCGUGAAGGAUGACUGCCCUAUGGGUUGUAAACUUCUUUUAUAUAGGAAUAAAAUGAGGCAUGUGUGCCUUUUUGUAUGUACUAUAUGAAUAAGGAUCGGCUAACUCCGUGCCAGCAGCCGCGGUAAUACGGAGGAUCCGAGCGUUAUCCGGAUUUAUUGGGUUUAAAGGGAGCGUAGAUGGGUUCUUAAGUCAGUUGUGAAAGUUUGCGGCUCAACCGUAAAAUUGCAAUUGAUACUGGCAGUCUUGAGUACAGUAGAGGUAGGCGGAAUUCGUGGUGUAGCGGUGAAAUGCUUAGAUAUCACGAAGAACCCCGAUUGCGAAGGCAGCUUACUAGACUGUAACUGACAUUGAUGCUCGAAAGUGUGGGUAUCAAACAGGAUUAGAUACCCCUGUAGUC
rnacentral:rRNA from 1 species